CCAACAUGGACACUCGUGGGAGGUCGCUCUCCCUAGCACCGUCCAGGGGCCACAGAGGUGCAUGGGGCUCUGCCCUGUGACAUACAGUCCUUUUCCGCAAUGGUGGACUUAGGGCUGAGUCUGGAGCCUGUACCCGUAUAUUCUUAUGGCUUCUUAAGAGUCCCGUGUACGAUGGCUGAAGAGAUAAAUCACACAGACAACAUCU